UACAGAGGUCCCAAGCGUUACUGAGAAUCACUGGGUUUAAAGGGUGCGUAGGUGGUCCGUUAAGUCAGUUGUGAAAUCCCCGGACUCAACCCGGGAACUGCUUCUGAUACUGGCGGACUUGAGGCCAGUAGGGGUCACUAGAACUGACGGUGGAGCGGUGAAAUGCGUAGAUAUCGUCAGGAAUGCCGGUGGUGAAGACGGGUGACUGGGCUGGUUCUGACACUGAGGCACGAAAGCGUGGGGAGCGAACGGG
rnacentral:rRNA from 1 species